rnacentral:rRNA from 1 species
CAAGAGCCGCAAGGCUCAUAAAGUCGCAGACGCCACGCUGCCGAGAAAAUCCUCUAAGGAGUCUUUCGGGUACCCGUACCGCAAACCGACACAGGUAGGCGAGGAGAAAAUCCUCAGGCGCAAGUGAGAACCCUCGUUUAGGAACUCGGCAAACUAGCCCCGUAACUUCGGAAUAAGGGGUGCUCUAUUACCGUCAGCGGCCUCGCGCCGCGAAGCGGGAAAGAGUUGCAGUGAAGAGGCCCAAGCAACUGUUUACUAAAAACACAGGACUCUGCGAAGUCGAACACGACGUAUAGGGUCUGACGCCUGCCCGGUGCCGGAAGGUUAAAGGGAGAGGUUAGCCGCAAGGCGACGCUUCGAGCUGAAGCCCCGGUAAACGGCGGCCGUAACUAUAACGGUCCUAAGGUAGCGAAAUUCCUUGUCGGGUAAGUUCCGACCUGCACGAAUGGCGUAAUGAUUUGGGCGCUGUCUCAACGAGGGGCACUGCGAAUUUGUGGUACCGGUGAAGACGCCGGUUGCCCGUGAUUAGACGAAAAGACCCCGUGCACCUUUACUACAUCCUAGUAGUGAAUGCUGGCGCAAUAUGCGCAGGAUAGGUGGGAGGCUUUGAACCCAGGCUUUUGGGCUUGGGGGAGCCAACGGUGAGAUACCACCCUUAUUGUUCCGGCGUUCUAACUUAGAUCUGUCAUCCAGACCGAGGACACUGCUAGGUGGGUAGUUUGACUGGGGCGGUCGCCUCCUAAAGAGUAACGGAGGCGCGCGAAGGUUCGCUCAGGCUGUUUGGAAAUCAGCCAUAGAGUGCAAAAGCAUAAGCGAGCUUGACUGCGAGUCCUACAAGACGAGCAGGUGGGAAACCAGGCUUUAGUGAUCCGGUGGUUCCGCGUGGAAGGGCCAUCGCUCAACGGAUAAAAGGUACGCCGGGGAUAACAGGCUGAUCCUAGCCAAGAGUUCACAUCGACGCUAGGGUUUGGCACCUCGAUGUCGGCUCAUCACAUCCUGGAGCUGUAGCAGGUUCCAAGGGUUCGGCUUUCGCCGAUUAAAGUGGUACGUGAGCUGGGUUUAGAACGUCGCGAGACAGUUCGGUCUCUAUCUAUCAUGGGCGCAGGAGAUUUGAGUGGGGCUGACCUUAGUACGAGAGGACCGGGUUGGACGGACCUCUAGUGUAUCGGUUGUCACGCCAGUGGCAGCGCCGAGUAGCUACGUCCGGAAGGGAGAAACGCUGAAUGCAUCUAAGCGUGAAACCCUCCACAAGAUGAGAUCUCCCGAGCCAUAAGGCUCCUAAAGACUCCUGGAAGAUGACCAGGUCGAUAGGCCAGGUGUGUAAGAGCAGCGAUGCUUUUAGCUAACUGGUACUAAUAAGUCGUGCGGCUUGACCAU